CCUACGGGGGGCAGCAGUGGGGAAUAUUGCGCAAUGGGCGAAAGCCUGACGCAGCGACGCCGCGUGAGGGAUGAAGGUCUUCGGAUCGUAAACCUCUGUCAGCAGGGAAGAACGGUCACUGUGCUAAUCAGCAGUGAAUUGACGGUACCUGACGAAUAAGCCACGGCUAACUACGUGCCAGCAGCCGCGGUAAUACGUAGGUGGCAAGCGUUAUCCGGAUUUACUGGGUGUAAAGGGCGUGUAGGCGGGACUGCAAGUCAGAUGUGAAAACCACGGGCUCAACCUGUGGCCUGCAUUUGAAACUGUAGUUCUUGAGUACUGGAGAGGCAGACGGAAUUCCUAGUGUAGCGGUGAAAUGCGUAGAUAUUAGGAGGAACACCAGUGGCGAAGGCGGCCUACUGGACGGUGACUGACGCUGAGGCUCGAAAGCGUGGGGAGCAAACAGGAUUAGAUACCCUAGUAGUC
rnacentral:rRNA from 1 species